GACGGAGGGUGCGAGCGUUGUUCGGAUUGACUGGGCGUAAAGGGCGUGUAGGCGGUUGGUCAAGUCUGAUGUGAAAGCCCGGGGCUCAGCUCCGGAAGUGCAUCGGAAACUAGCUGGCUGGAGCGCGAUAGAGGAGGGUGGAAUUCCUGGUGUAGCGGUGAAAUGCGUAGAUAUCAGGAGGAACACCGGCGGCGAAGGCGGCCCUCUGGAUCGUUGCUGACGCUGAGACGCGAAAGCGUGGGGAGCAAACAGG
rnacentral:rRNA from 1 species